rnacentral:lncRNA from 1 species
GAAAAUACAAGUUGGAAAAUAGUCAAACACAAUAUAACAUCUUUUCACCCCUAUACUUCUCAGCUUAAAAAAAAAGUAUUCUAAAAAAAAGUUCAAUAACUGAGGCAGUAUUCCUGAUAGAGAUAAAUUUCAUUUUACAUUUUCACCAUGAAGAUUAGGCAGGUUAAUGCUCUAAAACCCAGAGUGUUCAGCCCCAAAGUGAGGAAAAG